CGCGCCGCGUGUGGAAGGCCGGCCGGGCGGCUGUUCCCCGCGUACCCAGCAGGGCAGCACCUGGACGGCCUGGUUCCGGAAGGCCGGCUCUAAAAUCUUUCCAGAAUGAAACUGGCUCCCCGCCUCCCUCGGGCCUCCCGCAGGCGCAGGGCACAGGGCGCAGCCUCCGCUGGAAUCCCCCUCCGUACAACCUGUACCAAGCCAGCAAGCUGAGCUGCUGGGACCGGACUGACUUCCUGCAAGGAAAAGACGACGCGAGAGGAGUCUCCGUGCGGCUGUCUGAUGUAUUGAAAACCAAAGCACAUUUCAUCGCCAACGUGAAAGCAGCUUCGCUGUGAACCGACAAAGCCU